GCCCUUAUGGUUCAGCGGUAGAAUACGUCACUAGUAAGUCAAAUACAGACUGUCAUGACGGGGUCCCUGGUUCGACUCCAGGUGAGGGCA